UAAGGAGGAUUCAAGCGUUAUCCGGAUUUACUGGGUGUAAAGGGAGCGCAGACGGCAGUGCAAGUCUGGAGUGAAAGCCCGGGGCUCAACCCCGGGACUGCUUUGGAAACUGCAUAGCUGGAGUGCUGGAGAGGCAAGCGGAAUUCCUAGUGUAGCGGUGAAAUGCGUAGAUAUUAGGAGGAACACCAGUGGCGAAGGCGGCUUACUGGACCGUAACUGACGUUGAGGCUCGAAAGCGUGGGGAGCAAACAGG
rnacentral:rRNA from 1 species